rnacentral:lncRNA from 1 species
CCACCAUCAAAGGUCUCCUUGUUUUGAUAAUAUCUUCCCACAUUGUUUCUAUUCAGAAAUGGUGCGUGCCUGCAGGGAUCGUGGACAGUUGCACGAGGUAGGGACCAAAUGGAGGACUAAGGACUGCAUGCGCUGCACCUGCUCUGCCACUGGGAUGAGCUGCUGCUCUGUCGGGGCAACUUCAAUAUCAUUUCCUGAUGACUGCAUGGAGGUGUAUGACGAG